AUGCAUCAAAUUCCACAUAGGCAACAGGAUCCUGUGUUGCUGGAGCACGCGCGGGCACAGGACACCUCAGUAGAUACCAUGGAUGAGCGGGCAUUACAACAAGCAACAACUUGCCUACAAACUGGAGGCGAAAGCAGCGAUGAUAGCUGGGAAUGGGAUUCAGCGAGAUGGAAGCAAGCUACUCCGCCACUUGGGUUGUGCGUGAGAGACCAGCAAACUUCAACAGAGAAGCUGACAUGGACCUGUUGCACAGUUCGAUCUAGCUCACAUGGCAACGCUCGGGCUUUCUUCUCCAACUCGAAUUCCUAA
rnacentral:rRNA from 1 species